GCAGUCGACGGGAUCCAGCUUGAAGCUUGCUUUAAGCUGGUGAGAGUGGCGCACGGGUGCGUAACGCGUGAGCAACCUACCCAUAUCAGGGGGAUAGCCCGAAGAAAUUCGGAUUAACACCGCAUGACACUGUAACUUGGCAUCAAGACACAGUUAAAUAUUUAUAGGAUAUGGAUGGGCUCGCGUGACAUUAGCUAGUUGGUAAGGUAACGGCUUACCAAGGCUACGAUGUCUAGGGGCUCUGAGAGGAGAAUCCCCCACACUGGUACUGAGACACGGACCAGACUCCUACGGGAGGCAGCAGUAAGGAAUAUUGGUCAAUGGAGGGAACUCUGAACCAGCCAUGCCGCGUGCAGGACGACUGCCCUAUGGGUUGUAACUGCUUUUGUACGGGAAUAAACACUACUACGUGUAGUAGCUUGAAUGUACCGUAAGAAUAAGGAUCGGCUAACUCCGUGCCUGCAGCCGCGGUAAUACGGAGGAUCCGAGCGUUAUCCGGAUUUAUUGGGUUUAAAGGGUGCGUAGGCGGCUUUAUAAGUCAGGGGUGAAAGACGGCAGCUCAACUGUCGCAGUGCCUUUGAUACUGUUUGGCUUGAAUUCGGUUGAAGAUGGCGGAAUGAGACAAGUAGCGGUGAAAUGCAUAGAUAUGUCUCAGAACACCGAUUGCGAAGGCAGUUAUCUAAGCCGUUAUUGACGCUGAUGCACGAAAGCG
rnacentral:rRNA from 1 species